CAAAAAGUAGUUUAUAUUAAAAUAAUAAUUUUGGAAAUUAUAGAAAAUUUAAUUAAUAAAAAUUUUUUUUGA
rnacentral:tRNA from 1 species